UCAUGAGAAGAACACUAGAAAAAAAACCCACAUGUACAAUGUUCUUUCACUGCGUGUGCAACAGAGUGAAAACUUGGGAACGGUGGGGAGGAGCCGAAACUUGGUUCAAUUGUAAUCACACAUUUGUGUUGGGUGGGGUGAUAGAGGCGGAAAAUGGCAGCUUUUGAAGUUACCUUCAAUUCAACCAGAUAGGAUUUUUUCUUGGUGUUCAUGGUAUGAAAAAGAAACACAUUUCAUUUCAGUUAUUACUCACUAUUGGUCCCGUCUAGCUAAUCCUAAGUACGUAUAUCUGUAAUAAUAUCUCUGAGCACCAUGUUCAAUAAUUUUAGUCUGCACACCGUAAGUAAACAUGCAUGCGCAUACAUACAAAUAUGUAUGUGGGGUAGGAAUAAGACAGAAGAUGUUUUCGCUUGUAUCAUCGGUGAGGAAUGCGAGUAUGAAUGUGAGCAAGGAACGGGAGAGUCUCAUCUUUUAUUCUCCCACCACCAUACUGACACUCUCAUGGUCUCGCUUGACUUGCAAAAAAUGAAGGAUGCCAGUAAAGGUGUGAGUGUGACAGGUUUUAAAAUAUAAUUAUCACAACCAACUUAAACCAUCCGGGUCUCCCAAGCAAGAAGUUCUCAUUUGUUCGUCUGUAUCUACCCUCGUCUUUUUUGGAGCUGUCUCAUCUUCCACACUCGCCCUUCUUCAUCUCUCCGAAGUACAUCUUCUUCACUUUGCUGAGUGAAUGGCUUUAAUGAGUAAAGAAAAUGGUUCAAAUCUAUUCUUAGGAGUUUGUUUUCUAUCUGUUGGUCUCACUUUGUGACACUUUUUCAUAACACGAAUCUAAUGUUUCACCCUACAAAGAAAGCAUAUGAGCUGCAACUGACAGCCUGGUGAAGGUGUUGCAAAAACGACGAGCCAGCAGGUCAUUUAAUUAUUCGUAUUAUUUAGAUAUCCGAAAUCUUUGUAUUUUUCACUGAUGAAGAUGACAGUGCUUCAUUGAAAGCUAGCAAUUUCCAAAAUGAAAUCAAGAAAUUCAUAAUUUAUCAACAGUAUCGACUGCAGUACACAGAGCUUCAGAUCGAACUUCAUGAUACAAAGUUGUAUGAAAUCAACUUCAACAAACAUGAAAACUCAAUAACCAUUUAUCUCUCAUUUUUAAACUGGCUUCGUGUUCACAGCAUUAAAUUGAAUCUUGAAUCUUGGGUUGGAUGCCAAUACGGAUUGCCUGCGGACUCGGUGUACCCAAUUUUUCUUCCAGCAAAGAAAAUAACCAGCAGGGUUUGGGAAAUAAGUGGAUUUGAUUCACUCAAGAAUUUGUUGGUUUCAACAAAUGA